rnacentral:rRNA from 1 species
CCUACGGGUGGCUGCAGUAAGGAAUAUUGGUCAAUGGAGGAAACUCUGAACCAGCCAUCCCGCGUGAAGGAUGAAGGGGCUCUGCCUUGUAAACUUCUUUUGUCUGGGGCGAAAAAGCUCGAUUUAUCGAGAACUGACGGUACCAGAAGAAUAAGCACCGGCUAACUACGUGCCAGCAGCCGCGGUAAUACGGCGGGUGCAAGCGUUACCCGGAAUCACGGGGGUGAAGGCGUGCGAGGGAGUCAUAGGUGAAAGGCUGUGGCUUAACCAUGGAAUUGCCAUUGAUACUGCAGAGCUUGAAUGAGGUUGAGGUUGGCGGAAUGUGACAUGUAGCGGUGAAAUGCUUAGAUAUGUCGUGGAACACCGAUUGCGAAGGCAGCUGACUGGACCUAUAUUGACGCUGAGGCACGAAAGCGUGGGGAGCGAACAGGAUUAGAUACCCUAGUAGUC